rnacentral:misc_RNA from 1 species
GAUGAAGAACGUAGUGAAAUGCGAUACGUAAUGUGAAUUGCAGAAUUCAGUGAAUCAUCGAAUCUUUGAACGCAUAUUGCGCUCUCUGGUAUUCCGGAGAGCAUGCUUGUUUGAGUAUCAGUAAACACCUCAACUUCCAUAUCUUUUUUGAAAUGGGAGUUGGACUUGAGUGAUCCCAACGCUUUUCCUCACCGAAAAGUGGCGGGUUACUUGAAAUGCAGGUGCAGCUGGACUUUUCUCUGAGCUAUAAGCAUAUCUAUUUAGUCUGCCUAAAAAACAGAUUAUUACCUUUGCUGCAGCUAACAUAAAGGAGAUUAGUUCUUGUGCUGACUGAUGCAGGAUUCACAAAGACAGGCUUCGGCCGACUUUGUAAACUCGAUCUCAAAUCAAGUAAGACUACCCGCUGAACUUAAGCAUAUCAAUAAGCGAGG